rnacentral:tRNA from 1 species
GGGUCGUUAGCUCAGCUGGUAGAGCAGCGGACUUUUAAUCCGUUGGUCGCAGGUUCGAAUCCUGCACGACCCA